UACGAAGGGGGCUAGCGUUGUUCGGAAUUAUUGGGCGUAAAGGGCGUGUAGGCGGUCUGCUAAGUCAUGUGUGAAAUCCCUCGGCUUAACCGAGGAACGACGCAUGAAACUGGCAAGCUAGAGUACCAAAGAGGGGGGUGGAAUUCCCGGUGUAGCGGUGAAAUGCGUAGAUAUCUGGAGGAACACCGGUGGCGAAGGCGGCAUCCUGGACCGGCAUUGACGCUGAGGCGCGAAAGCCAGGGGAGCAAACGGG
rnacentral:rRNA from 1 species